GCAAGGGCAUUUAAAAGUAAACUUAAAUUGUUUUUGUUUUGUUUUGGAUGUUGGCAGAAGGGCUGACAUUAACGAGUUCCGAAAAGAGUCUUAAAUUGGGGGUAUGCGUAGUAGGUUAGAUCUAUACACGAAAUAGAGAGAAAUUGAAGGGUAGAAUAGGUGUUGUUGCAUGGAUGGACAGCUGAGGAAGAACUGUGAAAAAGGUUUGAUUGGACAAAUUGAAAUGAAAUGGUAAUGGGACAGAGAUAAAUGCAAGAGACACCCAUAUCUCUUCCACAUUUGGUACCCAG
rnacentral:lncRNA from 1 species